rnacentral:lncRNA from 1 species
GAACCAGAACUAAACUCCGAAGAACCAUGAAGUCAAUAACUAGAAGUUAUUUGGAAAAGUCUGAUCACACACAGUUUGUACAGGAAGGCACCUCUGAGACUGCUGAAUUCAAGCCAUUAUACAAGGCAUUACAUGAAGCCUAGAAACAUGAAGAGAUGAGUUCAAGGCCACAGGAUUUAUUGGUAACCCAAUGGAAAGGAACAACCAGGACUUCUGAAUCCAAGUUAAUUUCCUACUGUAAGAGUUAAUCUAAACUCUACUGUCUUUCUAGGAAAAAUAAAAGCUUAUGGU